rnacentral:rRNA from 1 species
UACGUAGGGGGCGAGCGUUGUCCGGAUUUAUUGGGCGUAAAGGGCUUGUAGGCGGCCACGUCAAGCCGGAUGUGAAAUCUCCCGGCUCAACUGGGAGGGGUCAUUUGAUACUGGCAUUCUCGAGUCCGGAAGAGGUGAGUGGAAUUCCGAGUGUAGAGGUGAAAUUCGUAGAUAUUCGGAGGAACACCAGUGGCGAAGGCGGCUCACUGGUCCGGUACUGACGCUGAGGUGCGAAAGCGUGGGGAGCAAACAGG